CGUGUUUUCAGAGUCCCUGCCAAGCCAGUUAUGGAUGGAUUUGCAUUUGGGUUGGGAAAUGAUUGGACCAGGUCAGUUCUGGUAGCUCCGCUUCCCCCUGGGUGAGGCAACAAGCCCCAAUAAAAAGGUCCUCUGCUGCACGACGGCUAUCCUCCUGCUCCUAGACUUCCGAUUGACAUUGGAGAACCUGGUGAGUCUGAUUCUUCAGUUCAACUUUGUUCUCAGAUCCCUGAAUGUUGAGUUUAUGCUGGAGACAGCAAGUUUGGUGGGUCCAAAGUUAUGAUCGAAUUCCUUCUUGUGAACACGGUCAUAUACUUUCUUUCAGAUAUUAAAGACUCCAGAAAGAUGUCUUCUCAACAUCAGCAGUGCAAGCAGCCCUGCCAGCCAACACCAGUGUGCCCACCUAAGUGCCCUGACCCUUGCCCACCUGGCAAGUGUCCGGAACCUUGCCCACCUAUAAAGUGCCCUGACCCAUGCCUGGUUCAGCAGUGCAAGCAGAAAUGCCCUCCUGGGCCACCUGCCCAUCAUUGCUAGCAGAAGUGCCCACCCAAGUGCAUGUAAGAGCUUGAGCUUUUAUCUGCAUCUGGAAAGGAUAAGGACAAUCGGCUCAACUAGUUCCAGAGCUCCACCUUCAUCUUCUCUUCAAAGCUUAUCAUGGAUACGGAAGAAGCUUCUCCGCCCUUCAGCCUCAAUAUGCGUGGGGGUGAUUCCUGACAGACGGAGGUUUCCUCUCGGAGGCUGCUGUACUGCUUCCUUCUGGGAGGUGCCCGAGAAAGCAUCCCAGAGCCUCAGAAGGAAGAGCAGCAGCUCUCCUCCUGGGCGCCCUCUGAGGAUUCUCUCGCUGUCUUCUGUGUCGGUCGCUCACCUGGGCAUGGGUUUCUACCAGCUGAGCAAUUGUUACUUAUCCUCCACUUCUUGAAUAAAAUACAAUUCUUCUGCGUGAUGGGAAAAA